UACGAAGGGGGCUAGCGUUGUUCGGAAUCACUGGGCGUAAAGCGCACGUAGGCGGAUCUUUAAGUCAGGGGUGAAAUCCCGAGGCUCAACCUCGGAACUGCCUUUGAUACUGGGGAUCUCGAGUCCGGGAGAGGUGAGUGGAACUGCGAGUGUAGAGGUGAAAUUCGUAGAUAUUCGCAAGAACACCAGUGGCGAAGGCGGACUCACUGGCCCGGAACUGACGCUGAGGUGCGAAAGCGUGGGGAGCAAACAGG
rnacentral:rRNA from 1 species